UAUCCUAACCGUGCGAAGGUAGCGUAAUCACUUGUUCUUUAAAUGGGGACUAGUAUGAAUGGCAUCACGAGGGUUAUACUGUCUCCCUUUUCUAAUCAGUGAAACUAAUCUCCCCGUGAAGAAGCGGGGAUAAAAAUAUAAGACGAGAAGACCCUAUGGAGCUUUAAAUUUCAAUUCAAAGCAUAAUGAAAUAGAAUUUUAGGUUGGGGUGACCGCGGAGCACAAAACAACCUCCACAUUGAACUAGGCCUACUGCCUUAAGCAACGAAUUACAAUCCAAUGCACAAAAAAAUUUACAUUCAUUGACCCAAUUUUUUUGAUCAACGAACCAAGUUACCCUAGGGAUAACAGCGCAAUCCUCUUCAAGAGCCCAUAUCGCCAAGAGGGUUUACGACCUCGAUGUUGGAUCAGGGUAUCCCAGUGGCGCAGCCGCUACUAAUGGUUCGUUUGUUCAACGAUUAAAACCCUACGUGAUCU
rnacentral:rRNA from 1 species